rnacentral:rRNA from 1 species
AGCCGCGGUAAUACGGAGGGUGCGAGCGUUAAUCGGAAUUACUGGGCGUAAAGCGCAUGCAGGUGGUUUGUUAAGUCAGAUGUGAAAGCCCGGGGCUCAACCUCGGAAUUGCAUUUGAAACUGGCAAACUAGAGUACUGUAGAGGGGGUAGAAUUUCAGGUGUAGCGGUGAAAUGCGUAGAGAUCUGAAGGAAUACCGGUGGCGAAGGCGGCCCCCUGGACAGAUACUGACACUCAGAUGCGAAAGCGUGGGGAGCAAACAGGAUUAGAUACCCUGUAG